CGGAUGUAGCCAAGUGGAUCAAGGCAGUGGAUUGUGAU
rnacentral:tRNA from 1 species